AGGCCCUUUCGGGGGUACUUCAGUGGCGGACGGGUGAGUAACACGUAGGUGACCUACCCCGAAGUGGGGAAUAACAGUCCGAAAGGAUUGCUAAUACCCCAUGUGAUCGAUGAGGUUAGAGUCUUGUCGAUUAAAGCAGUAAUGUGCUUCGGGAGGGGCCUGCGCCCCAUCAGCUAGUUGGUAGGGUAAUGGCCUACCAAGGCUACAACGGGUAGGGGGCCUGAGAGGGUGACCCCCCACAUUGGCACUGACACACGGGCCAAACUCCUACGAGAGGCAGCAGUGAGGAAUAUUGCUCAAUGGGCGAAAGCCUGAAGCAGCAACGCCGCGUGCGCGAUGAAGGCCUUCGGGUCGUAAAGCGCUUUUGAGAGGGACGAGAUAGGACGGUACCUUUUGAAUAAGUCACGGCUAACUACGUGCCAGCAGCCGCGGUAAAACGUAGGUGGCAAGCGUUAUCCGGAUUCACUGGGCGUAAAGCGCGUGCAGGUGGCUUUGUAAGUUGGAUGUUAAAUCUUCCGGCCUAACCGGGAGCGGUCAUUCAAUACUGCAGGGCUUGAGGGCAGAAGAGGGGGGUGGAAUUGCCGGUGUAGUGGUGAAAUGCGUAGAUAUCGGCAGGAACACCUGUGGCGAAAGCGGCCCCCUGGUCUGCUCCUGACACUCAGACGCGAAAGCUAGGGUAGUGAACGGGAUUAGAAACCCCGGUAAUCCUAGCCGUAAACGAUGGAUGCUAGGUGUAGGU
rnacentral:rRNA from 1 species